CUCGGCUCACUGCAACUUCUGCCUCCUGGUUUCAAGCGAUUCUCCUGCCUCAGCCUCCUGAGUAGCUGAAAUUACCAGCACCCAUCACCAUGCCUGGCUAAUUUUUGUAUUUUUAGUAGAGAUGGGGUUUCACCAUGUUGGUCACACUGGCCUUGAACUCCUGACCUCAAGUGAUCUGCCUACCUCAGCCUCCUCAAAGUGCUGGGAUUACAGGGAUGAGCCACCAUACCCAGCCUGAGGUUUCUUUUCUUUCAGCUCUUAGGAAAUGCAGUGACAUUUCUUUUUGGCUCCCUUGGUUUUUAAUGAGAAACCCAGUGUCAUUUGAAUUGUUUCUCCUCCAGAAACAUUUAUCGAGUGCCUAUGGCAUGUCAGGCACAGUUCAAGUUCUGAGGAUACAGAGUAAACAACAGGCAACAUCACGCCUCCUCGAGCUUCUGUUCUACUGGGAGUCAGGGUAGGAAGAGACGACAACAAGGCCCUCUUCACCUGCCAGCUGGGCAACAGCAGUUACUCUCAUUGGAGACCCUUUCCCUUCGCCACUUCCCAGGCUACUCCAGACUGAAUGCAUUCAGGGAGUCACCUCCCAGGUCAAAACCUGCUGUGAUACCAUCACCCUGCAGCACAGACCACAGUCCCAAGCCUCCCAUUCUUGACUCUAACACCAGCCCAGCCUGACCUGCUGCAGGGUGUGGCCUGUGACCACAUCUGUGCUCCGUCCACGCUGCUUCGUCCAGCCUCCCACGCCGAUCCCCAGAGUAGCUCCCCGGGAUGCUCUCUCCUCAUCACUGCAUCUGCCGCCCGCCCAGGCCCUCUGACUUUACCCUCCCGCAGGCCCCUCCCGUCUGAGGUGCUCUGGAAUGCCUGUGGUGUGAUUGUGCAUGAACUUUUACGUGCCUGCGUCCAUGCUCGAGAGCGGUCUUGCCUGAACCACCUUGUCUCAAUAAUCAGCAUGAAACUCCUCAAAAGAAACAGAGAGGCCCCUCAGAACAUCACGGAAAAGACGAUGGCUCCAAAACAGCUAGAUUCUAAUCCCAGCUCUGCUGCGGGGCGCGGCCUCGGGCACACCUGUGCUCCGUGCAUGUGACGUGACUCUCAAAAGCAUCCAUUUCCUCAUCUGGAAAACGGGACAGUUCCUGGACUCUGCGCACCUGGAAGUGACCAUGAGGGUCAAAUGUUUCUCAAACUGCAAAUGCUUUUCAGAUGCUGGCGCCGUGACCAAAGACCUGGCUCUUACAUCUGCUCUGUUUUCAUGGGACACAGCCCUGGGUAUACAGUAGGUGCUUAAUGCAGGUGACCGUGAGGAAGGGCUGUGGCCCGUGGAGGGCAGGCAGGUGGGAUUCAGCUGAGGUCCUCAAAGGCUGCACUAUGGGAAAGGCUGAGCGGCAGGAAAGGGACAGACAGGCCCUCCUCCUGGGGCCCAGGGCUGGGAACCAGAGCCCCUCCUUUGGCCACUCUGAGGUGGAAGAACAAGGAGCACAUAGGAGGAGUGGCCCAGGCUCUCCACCUGAGGACAUUCGGAGGACCUAGAAGCACUGGCAGAGCCUGAACGUGGCACCGUAGCCUCCUGCUGGCUGGAGAUGUGUCUGGGCGGUGUGUCUUGGCAUGGAAUCCACAGCCAGCUAGCCUGAGGCGGGGAUGGGGCCAGGACCCCCGGCUGUACAGACGGAGAGCCAGAGGCGGUUGCAGGUUCCCAACCGACAGCGGAGCUGAUGAGUGGCGGGGCUUUCAUUUGUUGACAGGAGAUGCAUGUCUGAGGCCAGAGCCAACUUCUUCCAGGGAGCGGCUUCCUUCCUCCUCAAAGGACACAGGGGACACAGAUGUCCAGGAGGCUGUUUAGAGAGGGCCCGAGUGGUGAGCUGUGCAGGGGUCCUCACGCCCCGGCCCCGUCUUGGAUAUGGGGCUGGAGACUUAGGAAGUGAGUGCUGGGUCCUGGGGUUCCCUCAUCCGCCUUCAGGAAGAUGUGAAGGGGCUUCCUGCGGCCUUUGGCAGCAUUCAUCCCAAACCCCAAAGCCUCCUUCCCCUGGCUCCGUGGCAGGAGCAGUUGCAUUCUCCUGUCUGAGAGGGGCCACCUCCUUCCCACCUUGCCCUCUAAGUUGGCUCAGGCUGCGCAGGGCUCAGGCUGAGGUCCAGACCCUCAUGCCAGCUUGGUGCUUGGCCAGAGCUGCAAAAUUGGAGCUGGGCUGCCAGGGGGAGGGCACCGCUGAGGCCUUCUAGGCCCAGACGGGCUGAGAGAGCCCCCGCCCCCCACCCCAGCCUCACCCUCCACCCGAGGCCCCUGUCAUGGGUGUGGGUGACUCAGAGGAAGUUCUGGUUUCUGUCAGAUUUUGAGGCUGAGGCAACCUGAUCCUGAAACAAUGACAAGCCUCAGAACGGUCCUUCCCACUCCCUCAGAGGAGCGUUUCAGGCCUGGCCAAUAACACAGCAGAACGGAAAAUGACUUUGGGAAGGAAAGGUCAGGCGGCUAGGCCUCCCAUGGAAGGCAGCAGGCGGUUGCUCAGGUCAGAGGGCCAAGUGGCGCGGUCUGUGGGCACCGGCAGCUGGCAGUGACCCUGCAGAUCAACCUGGGCCCGGGCUGCAGACACCAAGCAGGGGCACCUGCCUGGCCUGGCUGCCUCAUGUGGCCCCCACAGCCUUUGUCAGGACACCUCAGGACAGUGGCCUGGCCUCUAGGCCAGUGGGCCAGCUCGGGGUGCUAAAGCCUAAUUUGCCUGGAGCCCCGGGCCACUCAUAGAUUCAGGAGGAAGAGGUGGGGUAGAGGUGGCAGAGGGAGAGCAGAGCCUGGCACACAGCAUUUGGCACCAUAACUGAGGCAGCUGCUUUCCUUAAGGAGCUGCCACUGACAGGAUCAGCACUUACAGAGCCCCUGCUGUAUGCCAGGAAGUACAUUUAUUAUUGCUUCUUGUCACAUUGGCCCUGCCAGGUAUGUACCCCAAACAUUAGCCUCAUUUCACAGAUAAGAAAAUUGAGGCUUCCGUGAUUAAGCAGAGGCUGUGAUGUCCCAUCCAGAGCCCCAGCCACCCAGCUCUCCUGCAGGACAGGAGAUACCUACUAGCCUGCUUCUCGAUUAUUCUUUUCUUCCCUGCCACCUUGGGAAUAUCCCUCCCACUUGCAAGCACAGGUCGGCUAUGCCAGGGGAGUCUGUGCCCCAGGGCCCCUUCAUCCAUGGGGAUGGGAGUCUGUAGAAAUGCUCACCUCCGCCCUCUCCAGUGGGGACAUUGGAGGCCUGUGUCCCACAGUCUCCCUGAGGGCCCAGUGGGUUGAGCCCAUUGCCCGCAGUGGAAACCCCUCAUUCAUGGACCUGUCUCCCUCCCCUGCCUCCCCCUCCACCUCCACCCCUGCCCUGCCCUUCCUCGGAUCACUUCAUGCACCCAAGUCCUCAUUGCAGUCUGCUUGAGGGGGAUCCCACAUGUAGCCAUGCCCCUUCCAGGCAGAGAGAAGCAGCACAGGCCCCUGGCUGAGUGUGCCACGGCGGGUGCAGCAGGAGUGCAAACGCAGAGUUCAACUCGGCAUCCAGCUGGAACCCAUGUUAACUUGCGUUUGACCAGCGUAAGAGAGACAAGAAGAUGAGUAGAACUGUAGCAGUCAAAAUGCUUCAGCUGCAGGUAAUAGGAAGUCCAGCUCAAACCGGUUUAAGCGGAGGCCAGGGGCUGCAGGGUGGGCAUCUCCCAUGGCACCUGCUCUGGUCCCUCAGUCCCCCUGAGUGGUGCACACUUCCCUCCACAAGGUGUGUUGCCGGGUGGCCACGGCUGUCCUGGGCUCGCAUUUGCUCAUGACAGUGUCUGGAGAGCUCCGCCUUUGAGGGCUCUUCCUGGGGCCUCUAACGAGAGAGGACUGGGGGGACCACGACAAAAAAUAUCUGGGUUCUUGAGACAGCAGAAAAGGUGGUGGAAGCUGGGUGAGUAGCCAGACAGUAUCUACUAGAAUUUUUUUUUCUCCAAUUUAAGUUUCUCCCUGGUGAGUUCUUAACCCGCCGCUGACUGGCCAAUGCUAGCAGACGGACACAGGGAACAAACAAGUGGCAUAUUAAUCUUCAUGGAAAAGCCUAGAAACGGGCAGUCCUUUCACAGCAGUUCUGUGUCUACAGUGAACACAUGGGCUGUGUUUAACUGUGUAAACACAAUAAAGUUGUGUUAUGGAAGUGAACUUGUUCCUGACUGGCAGAUGGAUUUAAAUGUAAGAGUGGUCCAUGGGCCCCUCCACGGAGCUGAUGCUGCCCCAGCAUCCUUCCUAUGGCCCUUCAGCCUCUGGCUAUUGGUCUUCCUGUAUCCAUGCACGGCUGAGCUGGAGGCCAACACAGGAGCAGCCAUUCCAGGCAGGUCUGGGCAGGGGUCCCUGGCGUGUAGCUCUGGAGGGAGUGGGGCUGUGUAAGCUCAGCGUCUUGUCUCCCUCACUGAAAAUACAGGACACAAUGGAACAGAAUAGAGAGCCCAGAAAUAAGGCUGAACACCUACAACCAUCUGAUCUUCAACAAAGCUGACAAAAACAAGC
rnacentral:lncRNA from 1 species